rnacentral:rRNA from 1 species
UGACAUAAGUAACGAUAAAGCGGGUGAAAAGCCCGCUCGCCGGAAGACCAAGGGUUCCUGUCCAACGUUAAUCGGGGCAGGGUGAGUCGACCCCUAAGGCGAGGCCGAAAGGCGUAGUCGAUGGGAAACGGGUUAAUAUUCCCGUACUUGGUGUUACUGCGAAGGGGGGACGGAGAAGGCUAUGUUGGCCGGGCGACGGUUGUCCCGGUUUAAGCGUGUAGGUAUGUGUUCCAGGUAAAUCCGGUUCACUUUAACACUGAGGCGUGACGACGAGGCACUACGGUGCUGAAGCAACAAAUGCCCUGCUUCCAGGAAAAGCCUCUAAGCAUCAGGUAACAUCAAAUCGUACCCCAAACCGACACAGGUGGUCAGGUAGAGAAUACCAAGGCGCUUGAGAGAACUCGGGUGAAGGAACUAGGCAAAAUGGUGCCGUAACUUCGGGAGAAGGCACGCUGACACGUAGGUGAAGUGAUUUACUCACGGAGCUGAAGUCAGCCGAAGAUACCAGCUGGCUGCAACUGUUUAUUAAAAACACAGCACUGUGCAAACACGAAAGUGGACGUAUACGGUGUGACGCCUGCCCGGUGCCGGAAGGUUAAUUGAUGGGGUCAGCGCAAGCGAAGCUCCUGAUCGAAGCCCCGGUAAACGGCGGCCGUAACUAUAACGGUCCUAAGGUAGCGAAAUUCCUUGUCGGGUAAGUUCCGACCUGCACGAAUGGCGUAAUGAUGGCCAGGCUGUCUCCACCCGAGACUCAGUGAAAUUGAACUCGCUGUGAAGAUGCAGUGUACCCGCGGCAAGACGGAAAGACCCCGUGAACCUUUACUAUAGCUUGACACUGAACAUUGAGCCUUGAUGUGUAGGAUAGGUGGGAGGCUUUGAAGUGUGGACGCCAGUCUGCAUGGAGCCGACCUUGAAAUACCACCCUUUAAUGUUUGAUGUUCUAACGUGGACCCGUGAUCCGGGUUGCGGACAGUGUCUGGUGGGUAGUUUGACUGGGGCGGUCUCCUCCUAAAGAGUAACGGAGGAGCACGAAGGUUGGCUAAUCCUGGUCGGACAUCAGGAGGUUAGUGCAAUGGCAUAAGCCAGCUUGACUGCGAGCGUGACGGCGCGAGCAGGUGCGAAAGCAGGUCAUAGUGAUCCGGUGGUUCUGAAUGGAAGGGCCAUCGCUCAACGGAUAAAAGGUACUCCGGGGAUAACAGGCUGAUACCGCCCAAGAGUUCAUAUCGACGGCGGUGUUUGGCACCUCGAUGUCGGCUCAUCACAUCCUGGGGCUGAAGUAGGUCCCAAGGGUAUGGCUGUUCGCCAUUUAAAGUGGUACGCGAGCUGGGUUUAGAACGUCGUGAGACAGUUCGGUCCCUAUCUGCCGUGGGCGCUGGAGAACUGAGGGGGGCUGCUCCUAGUACGAGAGGACCGGAGUGGACGCAUCACUGGUGUUCGGGUUGUCAUGCCAAUGGCACUGCCCGGUAGCUAAAUGCGGAAGAGAUAAGUGCUGAAAGCAUCUAAGCACGAAACUUGCCCCGAGAUGAGUUCUCCCUGAGACUUUAGGUCUCCUGAAGGAACGUUGAAGACGACGACGUUGAUAGGCCGGGUGUGUAAGCGCAGCGAUGCGUUGAGCUAACCGGUACUAAUGAACCGUGAGGCUUAACCUUACAACGCCGAAG